rnacentral:rRNA from 1 species
GAUGAACGCUGGCGGCGUGCCUAAUACAUGCAAGUCGAGCGAACGGACGAGAAGCUUGCUUCUCUGAUGUUAGCGGCGGACGGGUGAGUAACACGUGGAUAACCUACCUAUAAGACUGGGAUAACUUCGGGAAACCGGAGCUAAUACCGGAUAAUAUUUUGAACCGCAUGGUUCAAAAGUGAAAGACGGUCUUGCUGUCACUUAUAGAUGGAUCCGCGCUGCAUUAGCUAGUUGGUAAGGUAACGGCUUACCAAGGCAACGAUGCAUAGCCGACCUGAGAGGGUGAUCGGCCACCCUGGAACUGAGACAGGGUCCAGACUCCUACGAGAGGCAGCAGUAGGGAAUCUUCCGCAAUGGGCGAAAGCAUGACGGAGCAACGCCGCGUGAGUGAUGAAGGUCUUCGGAUCGUAAAACUCUGUUAUUAGGGAAGAACAGAUUUGUAAGUAACUGUGCACAUCUUGACGGUACCUAAUCAGAAAGCCACGGCUAACUACGUG